rnacentral:rRNA from 1 species
AUUGAACGCUGGCGGCAUGCCUUACACAUGCAAGUCGAACGGUAACAGGUCUUCGGAUGCUGACGAGUGGCGAACGGGUGAGUAAUACAUCGGAACGUGCCUAGUAGUGGGGGAUAACUACUCGAAAGAGUGGCUAAUACCGCAUGAGAUCUACGGAUGAAAGCAGGGGAUCGCAAGACCUUGUGCUACUAGAGCGGACGAUGGCAGAUUAGGUAGUUGGUGGGAUAAAAGCUUACCAAGCCGACGAUCUGUAGCUGGUCUGAGAGGACGAUCAGCCACACUGGGACUGAGACACGGCCCAGACUCCUACGGGAGGCAGCAGUGGGGAAUUUUGGACAAUGGGCGCAAGCCUGAUCCAGCAAUGCUGCGUGCAGGAUGAAGGCCUUCGGGUUGUAAACUGCUUUUGUACGGAACGAAAAGCCCUGGGUUAAUACCCUGGGGUCAUGACGGUACCGUAAGAAUAAGCACCGGCUAACUACGUGCCAGCAGCCGCGGUAA